CAUAACUCUAUCUGCAGUGUGCCUGAUGUAGAUCCGCUAUCUAUGCUGACCUAAAUCUCAGCUCUGAGAAAUGACUUGUGGGACCCAGAGAAUUCUCAAAGAGAUGGAAAUGAUCUAGAUCAGUGUACUUCAACACGUACAUUAAACCCCUGAUUCAUACUGUGUCAAUUGAUUCAAGAUUAUGAUGGGGGAAUGGGGCACUAAAUUAUAUUAUAUGCAUGUUUCAAUAAGUUGUCCUACAGAGAAUACAUAGUGUUGGACUGAAGAAAAAAAACGAAUCGGUACAAAAUAACAAACCAAGCAGUAACCCACGUGGAUGUCAGAACAGGGGAGACUCCACCGUGCGCUUGACGUUUAACACUGCAUUCGAAGCCCACGGGAGGCCUACAGUAAACUCUUGAGGGUGACCUGUGACAGUGGACCAUGCCCCAGACAACGAGUAACCCCCCAGGCUUGUGCAUUGGUGCCAAAACCAUUCCAGAGAGAAAGCAGAUAUAUUCAUGCAAUGGUAUACUGGACCCUUCUCCAGGGCGUAGGUACAAGCAGGCCUAUCCUUUCAGGUAUAGGUGGAAAUGGAGGAAGAAGUCCAAAAAAAAACCGCCACCAGCCCCACCUCUGCCAUCAUAUGAGGAAGAAAACUGGGAGGAGGAGAUAGGAAGCUUUGAGACAUAUGGAUUUGCUCCAUAUGGCCCAGAGGAUGUGGAUAGAGUGGCCCUACAGGGGUUGACCCUGAACCAGACUCCCUGCCCUCCCCACCCCCAGACAGCAACCGACUACAGCCCUGCGACCCACCACCAAGCCCCCGUCAAAUGGGUUCGCCACAUCAUCCGCAGCGUGGAGGAGCAGUUUGUCGACGCAGAGGAUUGAGGUCCGGUGUGUCCUGAUACACUUUUUAUUAGUUAACUCUUUAAUCGUAAGCUCUUAGGAAUGAUAUUUUAGUUGGUUUCUCAGGUGUCAGGGUUAGGGUUAGUAUUACUUGUUCCUUGGUUUGUUAAUGAAUUAGGAUGUCAUAUUUGUAGCCUCGUUGACAGUUGGGUUACAUGUUAACAAUUCAUUAUUUUUUUUGUGAAUCAUUUCAAUAGAUGUGUAGUCUAACUCUUAACUAAAAGAGAAAUUGUAGUUUUUAUCUUAUUUUUUAAAUACUUUUGUUUUAAAAGCAAUCACCUGAUAUAGGCCCAUGUGUUCAAGUGUCACUCCCUUUAAAAUCAUAUGUGUUAAAAUGGAGAGGGCACAGUGCAAGAAUAAGUAUGUUUGGAUAUAUUCUCAAAUGGAUUUUCCUGAUUGAUUCUGAGCCCAUGGAGAGCAAGAGGUCAGGUUGCCAUGACUACAGCACCCUGUAAGACACCACCCACUGGGCACAGAUGUCAAUUCAACGUCUAUUCCAAGUUGGUUCAAUGUAAUUUCAUUGAAAUGGUGUGGAAACAAUGUUGAUUCAACCAGUGUGCGCUCAGUGGAAAUGAAAUUCAGCUUUUGAGAUCCAAGAUAUCUUUAAUGCAAAUAAACCAUGCAUUUUAACAACAAAACUCUACACUGAUGCAUCAUUCCCACAGUGUUUUGGUUGUAGUGGUAGUAGUUCAGAAGAGAAAAUUGUAGCAUUAGAUGCCC
ensembl:lncRNA